AAAGGAAUUGACGGGGGCCCGCACAAGCGGAGGAACAUGUGGUUUAAUUCGAUGAUACGCGAGGAACCUUACCUGGGCUUAAAUGUAGAGUGCAUUGGUGUGAAAGCAUCAUUUUCUUCGGAACUCUCUGCAAGGUGCUGCAUGGUUGUCGUCAGCUCGUGCCGUGAGGUGUCGGAUUAAGUUCCAUAACGAGCGCAACCCUUAUCGUUAGUUGCCAGCGGGUAAUGCCGGGAACUCUAACGAAACUGCCGGUGUAAACCGAGAGGAAGGUGGGGAUGACGUCAAAUCAGCACGGCCCUUAUGUCCAGGGCUACACACGUGUUACAAUGGCCGGUACAGAGGGCAGCUACCUGUUGACAGGAUGCGAAUCUCCAAAGCCGGUCUCAGUUCGGAUCGGAGUCUGCAACUCGACUCCGUGAAGCUGGAUUCGCUAGUAAUCGCGCAUCAGCCAUGGCGCGGUGAAUACGUUCACGGGCCUUGUACACACCGCCCGU
rnacentral:rRNA from 1 species